rnacentral:rRNA from 1 species
UACAGAGGUCUCAAGCGUUGUUCGGAUUCAUUGGGCGUAAAGGGUGUGUAGGUGGCGCGCUAAGUCGGGUGUGAAAUUUCGGAGCUUAACUCCGAAACUGCAUUCGAUACUGGCGUGCUUGAGGACUGGAGAGGAGACUGGAAUUCAUGGUGUAGCAGUGAAAUGCGUAGAGAUCAUGAGGAAGACCAGUGGCGAAGGCGGGUCUCUGGAC